UACGUAGGGUGUCGAAGCUGUUGUGCCCGGAAGUUUAUUGGGCGUGAAAGGGCGCGUAGGCGGUCACGCACGUACCGUUGUGGAAAUCGUCUCGGACGUCAACUGGGCGGGGUCAGCGGAUACGGUGUGGCUGGAGGCAAGCUGAGGGGCAAGUGGAAUUCCCGGUGAUAGUGGUGGAAUGCGUAGAUAUCGGGGAAGGGAACGACCAGUGGCGGAAGGCGGGUUGCCUGGAGCUUUGCUGACGCAUGAGUGCGCGAAAGCGUGGGAGCCGAUCCGG
rnacentral:rRNA from 1 species